UACGGGGGGGGCUAGCGUUGUUCGGAAUUACUGGGCGUAAAGGGCGCGUAGGCGGUCUGCUAAGUUGGAUGUGAAAACUCUGGGCUUAACCCAGAGCCUGCAUUCAAUACUGACAGGCUAGAGUUCUGGAGGGGAUAGCGGAAUUCCUGGUGUAGCGGUGAAAUGCGUAGAUAUCAGGAGGAACACCGGUGGCGAAGGCGGCUAUCUGGACAGUUCCUGACGCUGAGGCACGAAGGUCAGGGGAGCAAACGGG
rnacentral:rRNA from 1 species